UGCCGGGCAGAGUCGGACGCCGCCAGUUCUUCACUCCACGCCCACCUCUCUCCUGGAGCGCUGGGCCUUCGCUGGCAGCACCGGCAGCCAUGAGCUCGGAGAUGGAGCCGCUGCUCCUGGCCUGGAGCUAUUUUAGGCGCAGGAAGUUCCAGCUCUGCGCCGAUCUAUGCACGCAGAUGCUGGAGAAGUCCCCUUAUGACCAGAAAAUUAGCUGGGCGUGGUGGCACGUGCCUGUAAUCCCAGCUACUUGGGAGGCUGAGGCAGGAGAAUCGCUUGAACCCAGGAAGCGGAGGUUGCAGCGAGCCGAGAUCACGCCAUUGUACUCCAGCUUGGGCAACAAGAGCAAAACUCCAUCUCAAAAAGCAGCUUGGAUCUUAAAAGCAAGAGCACUAACAGAAAUGGUAUACAUAGAUGAAAUUGAUAUAGAUCAGGAAGGAAUUGCAGAAAUGAUGCUGGAUGAAAAUGCUAUUGCUCAAGUUCCACGCCCUGGAACGUCUUUGAAACUCCCUGGAACUAAUCAGACAGGAGGGCCUAGUCAGGCCGUUAGGCCAAUCACACAAGCUGGAAGACCCAUUACAGGUUUCCUCAGGCCCAGCACACAGAGUGGAAGGCCAGGCACUAUGGAACAGGCUAUCAGAACACCCAGAACCGCCUACACAGCCCGCCCUAUCACCAGCUCCUCCGGAAGAUUUGUCAGGCUGGGAACGGCUUCCAUGCUUACAAGUCCUGAUGGACCAUUUAUAAAUUUAUCUAGGCUGAAUUUAACAAAGUAUUCCCAGAAACCUAAGUUGGCAAAGGCUUUGUUUGAGUAUAUCUUUCAUCAUGAAAAUGAUGUUAAGACUGCUUUGGAUCUGGCUGCCCUCUCCACAGAGCAUUCUCAGUACAAGGACUGGUGGUGGAAAGUACAGAUUGGAAAAUGUUACUACAGGUUGGGAAUGUAUCGUGAAGCAGAAAAACAGUUUAAAUCAGCCCUGAAGCAGCAGGAAAUGGUAGAUACAUUUCUGUACUUGGCAAAAGUUUAUGUCUCAUUGGAUCAACCUGUGACUGCUUUAAAUCUUUUCAAACAAGGCUUAGAUAAGUUUCCAGGAGAAGUAACCCUGCUCUGUGGAAUUGCAAGAAUCUAUGAGGAAAUGAACAAUAUGUCAUCAGCAGCCGAAUACUACAAAGAAGUUUUGAAACAAGACAAUACUCAUGUGGAAGCCAUCGCAUGCAUUGGAAGCAACCACUUCUAUUCUGAUCAGCCAGAAAUAGCUCUCCGGUUUUACAGGCGGCUGCUGCAGAUGGGCAUUUAUAACGGCCAGCUUUUUAACAAUCUGGGGCUGUGUUGCUUCUAUGCCCAGCAGUAUGAUAUGACUCUGACCUCAUUUGAACGUGCCCUUUCUUUGGCUGAAAAUGAAGAAGAGGCAGCUGAUGUCUGGUACAACUUGGGACAUGUAGCUGUGCAGAAGAGAUACCUAUGAGGAAAGAAAGGAGGAGGAAGUAAAUGGACCCAUGGGUGUGAACAUGGGCUUUCUUCUGUAGGGAAUAGGAGAUACAAAUUUGGCCCAUCAGUGCUUCAGGCUGGCUCUGGUCAACAACAACAACCACGCCGAGGCCUACAACAACCUGGCUGUGCUGGAGAUGCGGAAGGGCCACGUUGAACAGGCAAGGGCACUAUUACAAACUGCAUCAUCAUUAGCACCCCAUAUGUAUGAACCGCAUUUUAAUUUUGCAACAAUCUCUGAUAAGAUUGGAGAUCUGCAGAGAAGCUAUGUUGCUGCGCAGAAGUCUGAAGCAGCAUUUCCAGACCAUGUGGACACACAACAUUUAAUUAAACAAUUAAGGCAGCAUUUUGCUAUGCUCUGAUUGUUCCUUAGACCACAUAUGUUCUUAUGAAGCAGCAUUAUGCGAGGGGAAAAAAGUACUAUGUCUGUGUAUGUAUGUAUAUAGUGUAAUACGUAUAUUUUAACAAACCUGUCCUUGAUAUUAGUUAAGGUGACACAUAAGGGUGACACAGAAUGUGUAAUGCAAAUUUCAUAGUAAUAGUAACUUUAUAAAAUAAUAUUAUAAAAUACAGGAUUUAAACCUUUCUAAAUAGAUCCUGAAACUGUCUCUCACAUUAUAUAGUAGAUGUUUGUUUAUAAUGUUUACAAAACAUUUUGGUGAAUUUCCUCAAUGUUUUAUAAAUGUACAUUUUUUAAGUCCUUAAGCUGACUCUUAGCCAUCAUGUAGCUUAAGGAGUCUGAAAUCUGCCAUUAAAACUGCACCUUUAAGCCAGGUGUGGUAGCAUGUGCCUAUAGUCCCAGCUACUUGGGAGGUGGAGGUGGGAGGAUUAUAAAUAGAGACUUUCCUUAAGACUUUAAAAAUGUAUUUAAAACUAUUUUUUAUUAAAUACUUUGUGAUUUCCUAUUAAGCUUUAAAAUAAAUCAUUGUGUAAAACACCA